UCCUCCUACGAAGGCAUGUCUGUGGUUCUCCGUCUUCGGACACGUAAGAAUUGGAGGCACAGAAACGUGGACUUGGAGAAGUCUGGGGCCAGCUUGCUCCCCGCAGGCUCAAGAUCAACCAUCCCACAUAG